rnacentral:lncRNA from 1 species
GCAUAUCAUCUAAAACCUUAACUAUAUUAUCCAAAUCACUCACUGCAAAGUAAAAUUCAAUAAGCUUAUCAUCCAAAAUCCUUUCUUUAUCAAAAUCUAGCUUCAAAAUUCUUGCCAUGAAGCUUUUUGCGAUCUAACAAUUAUAUAGAAUUCAAACCUUGUAUAUUCAAAUCCCUUUUAAAACAAUACGAAAGAAAGAGAGACAAUUUGGAAAAGAAGAAAAACAAAUGGAAACAUAAAUAUAUAAAUUAUGUAAACAAAUAAGAACUGAAAUGAUGGGUUCUUUGAGAAUAAUUAAAAGCUCAUACCACUUAAAACAAUCUUAUACAACAGAGAUUAAGAAUGAAGCUCUGAAAUCCAUUAAUGGCAGCUCUACCUCAGUACUUCCAGCUCCAGAUUUAACAUUCUCUAAUAUCCAGUGGUGAUAAUAAAUGGGAAGGGUAUGGAUCAGAUCUAGGAGAUAAAACAUCUGGCGGUUAAGCACUAGCCAUUACAACAUUUCCAAAUUUUGACACCCCGAAAAUCGCUACCAUAUACUAAUCAAAUAGAUAAUAUGAAGGCAGAACAUGAAACUUUUAAGACUCUAACUUUUUCUCAAGGAAGGAUUGUAUAGAAUUAACUAAUCUAAAGUAUAGAGAUGUAGCAUAGAGAGACAAAAUAAUAAAAAGAAAACAAGAAAGGAAGAAAAAGGCUGAGGAGAAAUCUGAAGAAAAUAUCGAGAGAUCAGAGAGUUAAGGCCGAGAAGGUGAGGUGAGAGUUAAGAUUUGC